UACGUAGGUGGCAAGCGUUGUCCGGAUUUAUUGGGUUUAAAGGGUGCGUAGGCAGCCCUGUAAGUCAGUGCUGAAAUAUCCCAGCUUAACUGGGAGGGUGGCAUUGAUACUGCGGGGCUAGAGUACAGAUGAGGUAGGCGGAAUUGACGGUGUAGCGGUGAAAUGCUUAGAUAUCGUCAAGAACACCUAUAGCGAAGGCAGCUUACUAGGCUGUAACUGACGCUGAGGCACGAAAGUGUGGGGAUCAAACAGG
rnacentral:rRNA from 1 species